rnacentral:sRNA from 1 species
GUUGGGCAUGGUGGUGCAUGCCUGUAAUUCCAGCUACUUGGAGGCAGAGGCAGGAGGAUUGCAAGUUUGAGGUCAGCCUGGACAACUUACUGCAACCUUGUCUUAA